AUUAACGAAUUGUAAUUGGAGUUGAUGCUGGCAGGCUUGGCUGCAUGUGCUCGCUCCUAACAAUCUUCAUCCAAACACCUGUGCACAUUUAGAGAGGGUCUCCGAGUCCUCCUUGGAGUCCCUUCCUCUCAUUACACACUUUAUUUCAAUGUUGAACGUGAUUGUGCCGUAAGGCCUUAAUAUUAAUACAACUUUUAACAACGGAUCUCUUGGCUCUCGCAUCGAUGAAGAACGCAGCGAAAUGCGAUAAGUAAUGUGAAUUGCAGAAUUCAGUGAAUCAUCAAAUUUUUGAACGCACCUUGCGCUCCCUGGUAUUCCGGGGAGCACGCCUGUUCGAGUGUCGUGAAAUUCUCAAACCGGGAUGCUUUUUUUUGUUUCUCGGCUUGGUGUUGGGCUUUGCAGUUCCUUUGAUUGGGAUGGCUGGCCUUAAAAGCAUUAGCUGGCUUUUCAUGUGGCAUUGGUUCUACUCAGCGUGAUAAUGAUCUGACCGCCGAGGACAUCUUUCGAGAUGGCCAAUUCUCAUUUGGGCUGCUUCUAAUUUUGGUAGAGCAGAUUCUGAAUCUGUUCCACUUUUCAGCUUUUGACCUCGAAUCAGGUGGGACUACCCGCUGAACUUAAGCAUAUCAAUAAGCGGAGGAAAAGAAACUAACAAGGAUUCCCCUAGUAACGGCGAGUGAAGCGGGAAGAGCUCAAAUUUAAAAUCUGGCAGUCUUUGAUUGUCCGAGUUGUAAUCUAGAGAAGCGUUUUCCGCGCUGGACUGUGUACAAGUUUCCUGGAUACGGAACAUCAUAGAGGGUGAGAAUCCCGUCCUUGACACAGACUCCCUAGUGCUUUGUGAUGCGCUCUCGACGAGUCGAGUUGUUUGGGAUUGCAGCUCAAAAUGGGAGGUAAAUUCCUUCUAAAGCUAAAUAUUGGCGAGAGACCGAUAGCGAACAAGUACCGUGAGGGAAAGAUGAAAAGC
rnacentral:rRNA from 1 species